rnacentral:lncRNA from 1 species
AUGAUUGUGAACAAUAGUAACAAAUACACUGACUGAUUACUUGAUUUUUAGAGUACUUGUUAAUUUUCUCGUUGUAUAAAGAUGUAAUAUGAAAAUAAAGAUAUUCAACCUUCAUCGGUCAAAUUUGUAUAUUGAACUCACUUCUUUGCAGGCCUUAUUGUAGUGUUUGAAUUUGACUAUCAAGGAUAAACUAAUUGCUUCAUUGUUUUUUAUUGACAUUUGAGCAUGUAAAUGUGCCAUUAUUGUCAACCACCUAAUGUCAGACACUCCACCAACACUGACAAGCCAAUAUCGCACUUACACCAGCUAUCACUAUAGCAUGCUAUCGUAGUCAUUUUUUUUGCUUACUAGUUUCAUUCAUGUGCUAUG